AGACAAAUAACAAAUGAGUGUGACAGAGCUUGUGUUAAACUACAUCUGCAGCUGAAUCUUUGGCUCAAAAUGAAAUCCUCGAGAGCAAAAUGUUCUCCCUUUCCUCUGUUAGAGCCACAAGACACCACAAGAUGUCAAGGAUAAUAUCACAGUGAGAGUUCAGAAACUGUGAAAGUGUUGUAUAGAUGUUUGGAGAAGAAUUAUUUAUGCACUUGAAAAUACUGCAAAGCUCCCAAAUGGUCAGAAAGCAGUUCAUCAUCUCAGAGACUGGUCAUCUUGAUGGAGCUCAUCUCAGCACUUGCAGACGGUAUAGCAUCAAUCUCUACUAUCAGAGCUGCUGUUUCUUGUGUCAUCCUAAAAGCAGCACUUCCAACACAGAGCCUUCAAGGAAAUUGUACUGGACUUGCAUCCUAUGUGAUAUUAUCAAUGUUGAAUGCAUUUCAAUAUUGAUAUUACAGUCUUUUAAUAAAAAGGUACUUGACAGUUAUUCUUCAAUGUUUAUUGGCA